rnacentral:rRNA from 1 species
AUUGAACGCUGGCGGCAUGCUUUACACAUGCAAGUCGAACGGUAACAGGCCGCAAGGUGCUGACGAGUGGCGAACGGGUGAGUAAUGCAUCGGAACGUGCCCAGUCGUGGGGGAUAACGCGGCGAAAGCUGUGCUAAUACCGCAUACGAUCUAUGGAUGAAAGCGGGGGACCGUAAGGCCUCGCGCGAUUGGAGUGGCCGAUGUCAGAUUAGGUAGUUGGUGGGGUAAAGGCUUACCAAGCCGACGAUCUGUAGCUGGUCUGAGAGGACGACCAGCCACACUGGGACUGAGACACGGCCCAGACUCCUACGGGAGGCAGCAGUGGGGGAUUUUGGACAAUGGGCGCAAGCCUGAUCCAGCAAUGCCGCGUGCAGGAAGAAGGCCUUCGGGUUGUAAACUGCUUUUGUACGGAACGAAACGGUCUGGGUUAAUACCCUGGGCUAAUGACGGUACCGUAAGAAUAAGCACCGGCUAACUACGUGCCAGCCGCCGCCGUAAUAC